AUUGAACGCUGGCGGCAGGCUUAACACAUGCAAGUCGAGCGGGGUGAUGGUGCUUGCACUAUCACUUAGCGGCGGACGGGUGAGUAAUGCUUAGGAAUCUGCCUAUUAGUGGGGGACAGCAUCUCGAAAGGGAUGCUAAUACCGCAUACGUCCCACGGGAGAAAGCAGGGGAUCACUUGUGACCUUGCGCUAAUAGAUGAGCCUAAGUCGGAUUAGCUAGUUGGUGGGGUAAAGGCCUACCAAGGCGACGAUCUGUAGCGGGUCUGAGAGGAUGGUCCGCCACACUGGGACUGAGACACGGCCCAGAGCCCUACGGGAGGCAGCAGUGGGGAAUAUUGGACCAUGGGGGGAACCCUGAUCCAGCCAUGCCGCGUGUGUGAAGAAGGCCUUAUGGUUGUAAAGCACUUUAAGCGAGGAGGAGGCUCUUUUGGUUAAUACCCAAGAUGAGUGGACGUUACUCGCAGAAUAAGCACCGGCUAACUCUGUGCCAGCAGCCGCCGUAA
rnacentral:rRNA from 1 species